UUUUUUUUAAAUAAAUGAAUUUUAUUACAUUUAUAGUUGUACAACAAUCAUCACAACCCGAUUUUAUAGUUUUUCCAUCCCAAACCCCCAGCCCAUCCCCCCCUACUCCCUAACUGGUCUCCUUUGGAAACCAUAAGUUUUUCCAAGUCUGUGAGUCAAUAUCUGUUCUGCAAAGAAGUUCAUUGUAUCCUUUUUUUAGAUUCCGCAUAUAAGUGAUAACAUAUGAUGUUGGUGUCUCACUGUCUGACUACUUCACUUAGCAUGAUAAUUACUAGGUCCAUCCAUGUGGCUGCAAAUACAAUAAUUUCUUUCCUUUUUAUGGCUGAGUAAUAUUCCAUUGUGUAUAUGUACCACAUCUUUAUCCAUCCUUCUGUGGAUGGACAUUUAGGUUGCUUCCAUGUCUUGGCUAUUGUAUAUGGUUCUGCAAUGAACACUGAAGUACAUGCACCUUUUCGAGUCAUGGUUUUCUCUGGAGAAUACUCUUUUCUAAUUAACUAUGUUCUUUUUGUUUUUUUCUUCACCACCGCCUGAACCCCCUCAAGAAAAAAGGUAGUGUGAUAGUACUAAAAGAGGAAUUUAAAAUAAUAUAGUUCAAUGUUACCAUGUGUAAAUCACUUAUUCCUCAUAGGUUAGGUUAUAGAAUAUAUUUUCAGAGGCCUUUGAAAGCACUGGAAAAUUUUUUUGUUUGUUUUCCUUUCAAGAAUAAUGUCAAAGUUAAUAAAAACAUAUUCUGAGUAAAUCUGAUGACCAUCUUAAAAGCAAGUACUGCCCCCAAGUUCAUGCUAAUACUUAGGAUUUUUUGGAUGAUAAAUAAUUGCCUAAAGAGGCCUAACAAAUUUCUAUUCAAAUAUAAUUUAUAGAUAGAUAGGCAAACAUAGAUUUAGACAUACAUAUACACCAUUUGUGUGUCUACUUUGUGCCAAGCUCUCUGUUAAGCAUUUCACCCCUACAUAUUAACUCAGUUCAUCCUCUCCAUAGCACUCCAGAGAGGUUUAUUACCAGAGUCAGACUUAUAAGGACAGUGAAGAUCCACAAGUUUAAGUGAUUUGCCCAGGUUUCAAAGCCACAAAGUGAGAAGUCAGGACAAGUCCCAUUAUAUCUAUUGUCAGAAAACCCAUCCUCCUUCAUUGCACAGAUUCAACUCUGUGCCUCUUCAAAAGUUCUCCAGCUAUUUCUCUUCCCAAAAGUUUUUUCCCAGUCUUUCAAAAUUUCAUCUAACACAAAGAAGAAACUUUUAGUAAAGAAAAUAGAGAAAAAGAGGGCGCUCUGUGUGUGUGUGUGUGUGUGUGUAUGUAUCUCCCUACUGGCUAGAUGGAAAAGUGAAUGAAGAUGGAUGGAUGGAUAAAUGUAUGGCUACAGAUGGACAGAUGGAUGGAAAGCCAACAAAGUCUUCUCUAUCAGACUCUACAUCUUAUCGUUUACUUUCUACCUUUCUCUCUAGGACAUCCAAUCCAUAACAAACACCUAGAAUUACCUAUUUGAUUUAAAAUUACUUACAAAAAUGGAGACAUUAAUGAACUGGUAACUUCUUAGCAGCCAAGUACUUUUUUAAAAUGUUUUAGGAGUUCCCUCAUGGCUCAGAGGACAGAAAUCUGACUAGCAUCCAUGAGGAUGCAGGUUCAACCCCUGG
rnacentral:lncRNA from 1 species